GAAAGUUUCUCCUGAGGUCAGCUGAUUUCCUCCUGUUCGGAAAGGACAUUCCAGGCAAGUGAAGACCAUGACGUCACUCUCUGUGUCCCUGGUGAGCGAAUGAAACGCUUCGCAGCUGAAACCAUCCAGGAUCGCUGUGGACUUUGAAACAGCUGGGCGUCUUCACCUGCGCUUGCUCACUGCUGAGGUGUGUUUGGGAUUAGAGGCAGCCUGCCUGGGUUCCUGCGGGAGCAUUCUGGUUCUGGCUGCCUUUCCUCCUUCACCCUCGCUCCGUCUGACCAUGGAUAAAAAGGAAUUCCAGGAAAGGUGGAACACUUUCUUUGCACUGGCCGAGUGUUGCAGGCACUGACAGUCCCUCUGCUAAUCCUGGCACUGCUGUCUUCUCUUCAUAAGCCAGUGACAAAGGCCAGCAAGGGAAGGAAAGGCUUGUGAAGUCCAGAGGAGAGUGACAGAGCCAGCCUUCACCCAGCUGUGGGGGACAUGUCCUUCAUUAGUGCGUAAUUGGCUCAUCUGGUCAACCCACGGUCCACGUCUUCUUUUGGAAGUCCGGAGCAUCUGGUCUUCCCUCAGCUGUCACAGCCUGCUCCCACGGACGCUGGAACUCGUGGUGAUGGGGUGGCAGGCCAGCUUUACGCCUGACUCCCACUGCGCCCACAGCAGGGCCGGGGGUAAGGCAGGCCGGUACCUCCUUUGUUAACUCUGUCUUCAGACUGUCACCGGGCUUAGCCCAACAUUGUUUUUGUGCUUCCAACAUCAACAGGACAAGGGCCUAUGAAACAUGUCUUUAAAGUGUGUCGUGGUAGUUUUCUGCUGAUGUCAUGUGACCGAUAGGAGGUAAGCUGUGCUCUCAGGGAGAGAGGAUCUGGACACCAGAAAGACCAGGGUCCACUCUUAGAGCUGACAAUCUGCAGUUCUCCUGCUUCUGUGGCCCUAGCCCUGUGGCCCCUCCCACUCUCUGGUGGACUGCCCACCUUCUCCACCCUCUGGGGUGUGCGCAGAAACCAAGAGUCCAGACACAGCAACGCUCUUUCUACACGUGUCUUGGUGUGUGCCUGGGGAGCAGUGGCCUAAGAAGAGGCAGUUAGUCAAGAUCCUGCCCGGGCACUGUCAUGUUCUGCAGUUGGUUUGGGGCCUGGAGUGCCUGGUGGGAUGCCUGGGGAAGGGAGAGCAGUGUGGGACAGAGGCUCAUACAUUUAGGUUGUAGGCCUGUGAGCCUGUGAGCUUCCUUCAAGAAAAUGUUUGCACAGAGCCCGACAGCGAUUCUUGUGUAAGAACCAAGCUGAGGAGCUUGUGAUUGGAGAACCCCAUGUGCUACCAGACACCCAGACCUGGUGUAAGAGAAGGAGAGGUGAUGGCAAAGUGUCAGGCAAACAGCAGGAGCAUCAGUGUGACGGAAUCAAGGCCGACGUCAGGGUCAUCGGCACAGGAGAUGUGGAGAGGAACGGGGAAAGGAGGGGCAGGUUGGAGAGGAAGCCAGGGACGUGAACACCUCUACCACCAACCACCGGGGGUUCACAGAGGUGCCGGGGAGCCCUGUGACGCACACCACCAGCAGAUGUCCUGGGCACAGACUCUACGCGCCUGGAAGGAACUCUCCCAUCCCCAUUUUCUACUCUGUCAUGAUUCUCCUCUUGUGGAACUGUUAGCAGAUUAAGAAUGAGAAAUUGUUAGCAGAUUAAGAAAGCGCGCGCACACACGCACACACACACACACACACACACACACACACACACACACGGAAGUACAAGUCCAGUGAGAAGACUUUCAGGUCCCACCAAGGAUGCCAAAGAGAAUGGAGCAGCUGCCUGAGCUGCUUCCUCUGCUCCUGGGAGACAGCAAGUCAAGAUGCGGGCUCUGCUGUGGGGUGGGAGGAGCUUGGGAGAUCUGCUUGAGAAACUGGGCCCUCCUCUCUGCCUCCCAGCUUCUGCACCAAGUAGGGCAAUGGUGAUGUAGCUGGCAAUGAUCUGGCUUCCCAGAUCUGCCUGGACAAGCCUGCUAUAACAUCUUCAUCAUAAAAUUCUGACAUUAUGGUUUUUCCUUGUGGGGAGGCAUUAUUUAUUUCUGCUUGACGGCGAAUGGCUGGGGUGGGGACAAGCCUUCUUCGGUGAGGAUUCUGUCCAGCCCCGUGACGACAUCUGCAUCUGUGGGUCUUGCAUGGGGCAGGAGACACAGCCGUGGAAGCAUGCAGACCCAAGCAAGGCAAGUGCGGCGGCUUUCAAGGAAGAUUUGCAAGAUCCAUUGCUUUCGAGGUCAAGAAACAAACAGCUGUUCAAAGACUUCCCAGCAGCCGUCUCUCCCUGAAAUCCUCACGGCAAGCAACUUGCCCAGGAUGAAGCCUGUGGCUGUCUCUAAGUGGCCUUUAAAAAGUUUAUUGCUAGACUGAGUGGCGGGAAUCACUUGAAUUUAGGCUUUUAAAAUAAAAGUUGGUUUAUGCA